GGGGGCCCGCAAGCGGUGGAGCAUGUGGUUUAAUUCGAUGCAACGCGAAGAACCUUACCUGGCCUUGACAUCCAGAGAACUUAGCAGAGAUGCUUUGGUGCCUUCGGGAACUCUGAGACAGGUGCUGCAUGGCUGUCGUCAGCUCGUGUUGUGAAAUGUUGGGUUAAGUCCCGCAACGAGCGCAACCCUUAUCCUUUGUUGCCAGCGGGUAAUGCCGGGAACUCAAAGGAGACUGCCGGUGAUAAACCGGAGGAAGGUGGGGAUGACGUCAAGUCAUCAUGGCCCUUACGGCCAGGGCUACACACGUGCUACAAUGGCGCAUACAAAGAGAAGCGACCUCGCGAGAGCAAGCGGACCUCAUAAAGUGCGUCGUAGUCCGGAUCGGAGUCUGCAACUCGACUCCGUGAAGUCGGAAUCGCUAGUAAUCGUAGAUCAGAAUGCUACGGUGAAUACGUUCCCGGGCCUUGUACACACC
rnacentral:rRNA from 1 species